rnacentral:rRNA from 1 species
CCUACGGGCGGCAGCAGUGAGGAAUCUUGGUCAAUGGCCGCAAGCCUGAACCAGCCAAGUCGCGUGAGGGAAGAAGGUCCUAUGGUUUGUAAACCUCUUUUAUAGGGGAAUAAGUGUGUCCACGUGUGUAUAUAUGCAUGUACCUUAUGAAUAAGCAUCGGCUAACUCCGUGCCAGCAGCCGCGGUAAUACGGAGGAUGCGAGCGUUAUCCGGAUUUAUUGGGUUUAAAGGGUGCGUAGGUUGGUUUUUAAGUCAGUUGUGAAAGUUUGUGGCUCAACCUUAAAAUUGCAGUUGAAACUGGAAGACUUGAGUGUAUAUGAGGUAGGCGGAAUGCGUGGUGUAGCGGUGAAAUGCAUAGAUAUAACGCAGAACUCCGAUUGCGAAGGCAGCUUACUAGGCUGUAACUGACGCUGAAGCACGAAAGCGUGGGUAGCAAACAGGAUUAGAUACCCUUGUAGUC